AGCCAGGAUUUGCACAAAGCAUGCCAAUACCUCUUUCCCUUUUUCAGUUGGACUGCCUGUUUCUCCACCCCUACUGCUUUAACCCCACCUCUGCUCCUCAUUGUGUUCCUCCCUCGCUCCACGAACACAAACAUCCCACAAGGCAACGGGCCAUCCCUAAACUUCUUAACCAACAUCUUCCCAGUAGGAUUACGGCUCUGAUCAAUACCGCAACCAAAUUCCCCAGAACUGAUCAAUGAACCCACUGAUGACAAGCGACAACUCGACAUGCAACGCCAGGAAUGUAACGAGAGUAAGAGAUAUCAUUCGGGCUGGACGGCAUACCGACGCUAAUCCUAGAGAGACAUUUCUGAAAUGAGCUGCGCCGAUCCAGGAGAAUGACUUGCAUGUGCAUUGCCUGCCUGCUUUCCCAAAACCCCUCCUCUCUUUUUAGUCCAGCGAGCAACAUGAGCUACUGGACCACAAUUUCCACUCACACUAAACAAGUUUCCAGGCACUCUGACGCAGCCUUUAUCUGAAAUGGACUAAUAGCUUUAAUGCAUUUGUACAGAUGAUAAUCAGGUGCUCAUCACUCUCCUCAUUGCACGCAUGGAGAGGAUGGAAAUUCUCCAAGAAUAACAUCAUUAAAUUUGAAAAGAUAUAAUGUAUAGCGUUUAGCCCAUGGUUUAACCCAAUAUAACACCUAACUUUCUGUUAGCUAUGCCACUACCGCUGUCAGGGUUUCACAGUCAGUCACAGUGUAUGACUGGAGGGUAGACUUUUCAAAAUACUGAUUAAAAUGCAUCUCCAUCUA